AUUGAACGCUGGCGGCAGGCCUAACACAUGCAAGUCGAGCGAUCGGCGGACGGGGGAGUAAUGUCUGGGAAACUGCCUGAUGGAGGGGGAUAACUACUGGAAACGGUAGCUAAUACCGCAUACCAUCAGAUGUGCCCAGCUGGGAUUAGCUAGUAGGUGGGGUAACGGCUCACCUAGGCGACGAUCCCUAGCUGGUCUGAGAGGAUGACCAGCCACACUGGAACUGAGACAUGGCCCAGACUCCUACGGGAGGCAGCAGUGGGGAAUAUUGCACAAUGGGCGCAAGCCUGAUGCAGCCAUGCCGCGUGUGUGAAGAAGGCCUUCGGGUUGUAAAGCACUUUCAGUGGGGAGGCGUUACCCGCAGAAGAAGCACCGGCUAACUCCGUGCCAGCCGCCGCGGUAAUUC
rnacentral:rRNA from 1 species